GGGGAUUCAUAUUGUAGGUACUACUUAGAACUUACACUGAAAUAAAAUCCUGAGUAUUAAAAAAAAAAAAAAAGAAGUGGUAGCUUGCGGCUUAAUUUUGGACUCAAUCGCGGGAAAUAAUUUACGCAAGGUCCAGACUUAUGAGGUAGGACAGCAUUUGAUAGGGCUCUUUCUCAAUUUAAGGGGUAGUUGGUGCAUGGCGUUCUUUAGUUUCGGUGGGAAUGAUUUGUCUGGUUAAUUCCGAUAACGAACGUAGACUCAACAUGCUAACUUAGAACGCUAGUACAGUGCGCUCAUGGGCGACCUGACGUUAGCAGCGGGGCGGCGCCUUCCACGGCGGUCGUCGGCUACGUUUUGCCUGUUAGCGGGACAAACUUGUGUUCUAGCAAGCUGAGAAUGAGCGAAUAACAGGUUCCGUGAUGCGCUUCGACUGUUCUGUGGCUGCAAGGCGUGUAAAUGUGGGUCGCAAGCGUGUUCUGGCCAUACGGCGCCCUCAUGUCCGAGACGAACGGGGAAGAUCAUAAAAUGCCCAUCUGUCGGGAUUUGGGGACUGCAACGGUCCCAUGAAACCUGGAAUUUCUAGUAAGCACUGUAUUUAGCUUAGUGCUGAUUACGUCCCUGCCCUUUGUACACACCGCCGUCGCUACACCGAUGGAUAUUUACGUGUAGGUUUCUGGAGGCUUACCUUCGCGGUUCCUUGUGAGCUUGCAGCUGGCAUGGGCUGAAGUUGACGGACUUGAUGAUUUAGAGAAGUAAAAGUCGAACAAGGGUUUCCGUAGGUGAACUGCGGAAG
rnacentral:rRNA from 1 species